rnacentral:rRNA from 1 species
UACGUAGGGGGCAAGCGUUGUCCGGAUUCAUUGGGCGUAAAGAGCGUGUAGGCGGCCUGAAAGGUCAGCUGUGAAAACUCGGGGCUCAACCCCGAGACGUCGGUUGAAACCAUCUGGCUAGAGUCCGGAAGAGGAGUGUGGAAUUCCCGGUGUAGCGGUGAAAUGCGCAGAUAUCGGGAAGAACACCCGUGGCGAAGGCGGCACUCUGGGACGGUACUGACGCUGAGACGCGAAAGCGUGGGGAGCGAACAGGAUUAGAUACCGGGUAGUCC